rnacentral:rRNA from 1 species
GACGAACGCUGGCGGCGUGCUUAACACAUGCAAGUCGAGCGGUAAGGCCCUUUCGGGGGUACACGAGCGGCGAACGGGUGAGUAACACGUGGGUGACCUGCCCUUAGCUCUGGGAUAAGCCUGGGAAACUGGGUCUAAUACCGGAUAUGACUCCAUGACGCAUGUUGUGGGGUGGAAAGCCUUGUGCGGCUAGGGAUGGGCCCGCGGCCUAUCAGCUUGUUGGUGGGGUGAUGGCCUACCAAGGCGACGACGGGUAGCCGGCCUGAGAGGGCGACCGGCCACACUGGGACUGAGACACGGCCCAGACUCCUACGGGAGGCAGCAGUGGGAAUC